GAUGAACGCUGGCGGCGUGCCUAAUACAUGCAAGUCGAGCGAACAGACGAGGAGCUUGUUCCCCUGACGUUAGCGGCGGACGGAUGAGUAACACGUGGAUAACCUACCUCUUAUUCUUGGAUAACUUCGGGAAACCGGUGCUAAUACCGCAUAAUACAUUGAACCGCAUGAUUCAAUAGUGAAAGACGCCUUUGCUGUCAUUAAUAGAUGAUUCCGCGUUGCAUUAGUUAGUUGGUAAGGUAACGGCUAACCAAGGCAACGAUGCGUAGCCGACCUGAGAGGGUGAUCGGCCACACUGGAACUGAGACACGGUCCAGACUCCUACGGGAGGCAGCAGUAGGGAAUCUUGGGCAAUGGGCGAAAGCCUGACGGAGCAACGCCGCGUGAGUGAUGAAGGUCUUCGGAUCGUAAAACUCUGUUAUUGGGAAAGAACAAAUGUGGAAGUAACUAUGCACGUCUUGACGGUACCUAAUCAGAAAGCCACGGCUAACUACGUG
rnacentral:rRNA from 1 species